CCUCCUCCCUCAGCCUCCUGAAUGCUGAGAUUACAGGCAUGCAUUAUCAUGCCCAGCUCAGGCUUGAGUACCAAGGAUCAAACUCAGGACCCUUGUGCUUACCAGGCAGGCGCACCACCUCUGAGCUAAAUCCCCAGCCCUUUCAGCUAAUCUUUACAUAUUUGUUAAUUUACUCAGAAGGACUGUUUCUAACAAUGCCAUGGGCAAUGGACUCUGGUGAACAGAACAUUACUCAGCCUUCAAACAACAUCUGGCAUCUGGCUGUCCCCCAAACUGAGAUGGAUGAUGAAAGCACAUGACCUGAUGAGUGUCCCCAAAUAAUUCUCCUUACAUUAAAAUCAAAUAUAAAGGUCCCUGAUUUUCUCUGUCGAUAGAUUCUUUGCUUAGAAUUCACCCUCUGCUCUCUUGCAGUGUAUCAAAAAACUCUUCAACUGUUCUAUAUUCCUAUGACUACUGAUAAAUCCUUUUUUUUGGGGGGGGGGGUACCAGGGAUCGAACUUGGGACCUUGUGCUUGUGAGGCAGGCGCUGGAACCACUGAGCUAAAUCUCCAGCCCAAUAAAUCCUUUUUUUGGAUAAAUCCUUUUUUUACCAUUUGCAGCACUGGUCUCUUGUGGGCACAUGAAACUGGGUAGCUGUCCUUAAGACUCCAAGCUGCUUCUGCAGCUCUUCUCUAUAGCAGAUGGCUAUGCACAGAAAUGGCACAUGCUGAAUACGGAAAGCUGUUCUGCUCAGGGUCAUAGAGCAAAAAGAACAUACAUGUUGAGACCAGUACAAGAUGGAAACAUCAGUUAAUCUGAUCAGUUUAGUUAAGCGGAACCAAACUGUUUAUCCCAUUCCUUUGUGCUGAGAUUACCAUCAGAAUGCUUCUAGCUUGUCACAUGCCCCUACUCAAUGUCCCUUGAGUGAUCAUUUUCUUAAUUUGUCUUUUUGCUCUCAAUUCCUGGUAUUUUGAAUAAAAGCUGAACUGGCCUCACUCUGGGACUAUUUACCAUUCUUUGGAGCAGUCCCUCUGGUCUCUCAGCAUUCUUGCAAUCUUGGACUCUGAAUAAUUUGUUUUAUUCAUCUCCAGUGUCCCAGGUGGCAUUCUGCCAGUCUCUCACAUGCUGUGCAUUGCAUGGCAAUUACCCCCUCUUUGAGGGAACUGCUUGGAUUCUUUCUGAUGAAACCCCCAAAAGAGUUGCUUCCAGCCCCUUUUCUCCCCAGUGACUCCUAAAGCCUGGCUUUUGUGGGACUGCAUGAUUCCAAAAUCAAGUAUUCCUCUAGCCUCUAUUGUACUUGUAAAUUAAUGGUUAAAAUGUGCUUGUUAGUUCUGGGAUAAUAGAAUCUGUAACGAAACAAAGUUCCUAAGUAAAAUUACUCAACCCCUUGUUUGUCCGGAGAACGAAUGUUCCCGGGCCCACUACCUGUAGAACAAUCCAUCAGUGUGUCUGCUGACCAUCAGUACGUGACGGUCGACCACUAACCUUUGUUCCUUUUUUUGUAAAUCUACAUGUUAACCUCCCCCUCAACCCCCUAUAAAACAGCCUCGGACUCUGAGCCAGUUGCCUCUCUAAGCUAUUUUGCUUUGGGAGUGCCGUCUGGCCAGACUAAUAAAGGUCUGUUUUAUUUUCCAACUUGUCCGGUGUGUUCCUUCCCGGGUGUUCGUCGCUGCAGUCAGCUCCUCGGAGCGUUUGGUAAGGCCCUCGGUCUUACACUUUUCCCUCGCAUUUGUGGAAAAUACUGAAGCACUUUCAGUAUCUCACUAGGUCUUUGUAACAACCCCACAAAGGGAUACAGCAUCAAUCAUUUUACAGAUAUCAAAGCAGCCUCAGAAAACUUUGGGAGCUUGAUGACUUCUCUAUUGGGAUAUUCCAUCAGGAACCAUUCACCUAAUCAUGGCAGGUUUUGUAGGGAGACAACCCCAAGAAUGUGGGCUUAGACCCCAAGGUGCCCUGGGGUAGGAUGAGCAAAGCAUGAACAUUAAGAUGGAGACAGUGUGUUAUGGCUUGUAUCUCUCUCGAUGUCCCCCAAAAGCCUCACAAGGUCAUAGGUGGAGCUUUUUGGAGGUGACUGGACCUAGGGUGUGUGAUGUUGGGAUCAAGGAUGUGAUGCUGUGACUGAUUCAUGGUAAACUACUAGGAUUAAAGUUGCCCCACCCUGGGUGUGAGUGCUAGAAUACCUACCUUUCGGGUAUCCUAGAUAGGAUAUAAGGGACAGAAAGAGGGUCCCUGCUUGUGGCUUGCUGCUUGCUGCUUUUGCUUUCUUCAGCCUGCUAUGAACUGUUUCUCUUUUGUGAUACCCCUCUGCCAUGCCACUCUGCCUUGGAGUCAGCCAAGUAUGGGCUGAAACCUUUAUAAACCAGAUAAACCUUGCCUCCUUUAACUUUGGGAAUUUUGUCUCAGCAACAAGAAAAUUAACCAAGACAGAGUGUGUAUGUCAAAUCCAAGAAGAAUGUCCCUCGUGAGGUCUCCUAUUGGCAAGAAU
rnacentral:lncRNA from 1 species